rnacentral:lncRNA from 1 species
GGAGAAUUAAUGCAGACACAAUUGAUUCAAUGAUGAAUCAGCAUUAUCCAUCCUCAGAAAGGAAAACUUGCUGGAAUAUUCAAGAAGCGGUUAUGGGAAUUGGUGCAAUCUCUUUGCAGAAUAAUUUGGCAAGAUCUAUCAAAGCUGCAGAUGUACACGCAUGGCAACACACAGGUCCAGUCCUAGAUGCAGAAAAACCACACAGCAGGAGAAAUUCACCAAGAAAGUUCACUUCAACGUUGUCUGUAAUUGUUAAAAAAAAAAAGGAAAACAGCGUAAAUGUCCUUUCAGUGGGGAAGAAAAGGUAAAAGUGAGACUAUAUUCAUACCACAGCAACCUAUUAAUACUGUACUAGUAAUACCAUUAUGUGUUACCAUCCUGCAUGAUACAGUGCUAUACCACACCAGGCCAUACUAUAUGGCAGUUGAAUGAGCUGGAGCUGCGUAUGCCAACAUGGUAAAUCAUUGAGCAAAACAUAUUUAUUAGCAAAGAAAUGCACACCCUAUGAUGCC